rnacentral:rRNA from 1 species
CCUACGGGGGGCAGCAGUAGGGAAUCUUUCACAAUGGGCGAAAGCCUGAUGGAGCAACGCCGCGUGCAGGAUGAAGGCCUUCGGGUUGUAAACUGCUUUUAUAAGCGAGAAAUAUGAUGGUAACUUAUGAAUAAGGAUCGGCUAACUACGUGCCAGCAGCCGCGGUCAUACGUAGGAUGCGAGCAUUAUCCGGAGUGACUGGGGGUAAAGAGUUGCGUAGGUCGCAUGAUAAGUAGCUAGUGAAAUCUGGUGGCUCAACCAUUCAGACUAUUUGCUAAACUGUUAAGCUCGAGAACGUUAGGGGUAACUGGAAUUUUUAGUGUAGGAGUGAAAUCCGUAGAUAUUAGAAGGAACACCAAUAGCGUAGGCAGGUUACUGGGACGGUUCUGACACUAAGGCACGAAAGCGUAGGGAGCAAACGGGAUUAGAUACCCCUGUAGUC